CCAUGUUGCGCCGUAGAAUGGAACAGCUGAUAAAACCCAAAACCAGAAAGUGUCUCUUCCACACAUUGCAGUGCUACCAAAAGCCAUACUUUCAAAUGCACAUGCAAGCGCAUCACAUCCAUGGUCAAAAAGUUCUCCCCGAGGAGCUUGUCCGUCGUGCUUGCUUCCCAUCAACAGCAUCAAAAGUCUGAUAUAAAAAUAGAAGUAAUCCAUGUGCAAAGUGAACCCAUCUUGGAGGAGCUGUAUCCAAGCGAGGCGAAUAUAUAUAGCCGAGCAAUGCAGAAG
rnacentral:misc_RNA from 1 species